GGUCGAGGCUUGAAGAGUGGAGAGAACUUUAAGUUGUUAUAUGACUUGGCAGAUCAACUACAUGCUGCAGUUGGUGCUUCCCGUGCUGCUGUUGAUGCUGGCUUUGUUCCCAAUGACAUGCAAGUUGGACAGACGGGAAAAAUAGUAGCACCAGAACUUUAUAUUGCUGUUGGAAUAUCUGGAGCCAUCCAACAUUUAGCUGGGAUGAAAGACAGCAAGACAUUCUGGCAUCUUCUGCACAUCUCUCUGAGGAACCCCUCUAAGGGAAAUACACAGAUGUUGGAUAUCCUGUAGCCUGUAUUUUAAGUCAGGCUACAUCAAAAUACUUAAUGUAUUUUUUAAUACCAGCUGUUUUCACAACAUACAAUGCCAGACAAUUGUGGCAAUUAAUAAAGACCCAGAAGCUCCAAUUUUCCAAGUGGCAGAUUAUGGAAUAGUUGCAGAUUUAUUUAAGGUAGUUCCUGAAAUGACUGAGAUAUUGAAGAAAAAAUGAAUCAGGAUCAUGCCUUAAAAAGAAAACUUUUGUUAAAGUAUUCCACUGAAAUCACAGAUAUUUGUGGGUAUUAUAACAAUCAUUGGAAAGCAUGGAGAGCUACAUUUCAUAAUUUGAGGGAAAAUUUCUAACAGAUGCCAGAAUGCUUGUUUAUGGGAUUGCUGUGUUUCCUUUUAAUUAUUUGUGGUUCCAAACAAUUAUUGUUUGAACUUUUUAAAUUCUGUACUAAAAUCUAUAAUAAAGCUUUUCCACAGCUUUAAAAC
rnacentral:lncRNA from 1 species